rnacentral:lncRNA from 1 species
AAAUGCCCCUUGACAACACGGACACCCCGAGGAGCCGGUGGGAGCAGGGUUUGCGGCCACCGUGGGUCACUCGAUUGGCCGGAGGGCGAAGCCCCGCGUCUUCUGGGGCGGAGUCGGACACAGAGAGCAGCAGUACAGAGAGUGAGCGGGUGAGUAGGAGUGGCUUUCACAUUAACUGGCCUUAGGGUCGUCGGGGGUGUAUACUGCCAGUGUGGUCAGAGACAGAUGUUUCUGCCCAAGGGGACUUACUAUAUACUUUAACACGCGGCCAUUAGUCACCAACUGAACCAGCUGCUUGACUUACACCUGGCCUGAACAGCCUGUUUUAAAGCUUCUGUGUGCUGACUGCACCUCGGUCUCCAUUUCAUUUCUCAGUCUCACACCAGGCGUUCAGAGGGGGGCUCAGGUAGGAUCCCUCACUCACCCUCCUCACUCCAACAGCGAAUCACAGAGAUCGACCAGCAGAGGGAGGAGCUAAAGAUAGAGGUGCAGCUGGAGAUAGCCCUGUUAGAGGCAGAACUGCAGGAACAGAGGAGCCAGCUGCAGGAAAACACACUGCAGCUCCAGAAACUACAGGAGGGACCAGGCAGUACCAGUGAGACUCACAGACCGACACACAGACAGGAGGAGCGAGCCAAUCUGGAGAGGGAGAGGGCCCGGGUGGAAGAUUUGAGGAAGCAGUUGAAGGAGAAGGAGACACUGAUCCCAAGUCAGCCUGAGAACCAGAAAGAGCAGCUACUAAUGGACCUGCAACAGGAGAAAGAGAUGGUGGAAGCAGCAGGCCGGGCAUUUGAGGACUGGGAGUUUAGCGUCCUGGAGAGCGAAGCCGGGAUUGAGGAGGAUAGCGAAAGGGAGAAAGAAGAGAGGGAACAAGAGAUCAAAGAGGAGAAAAAGAAAGAGAUCUCAUGCCAACAGCAUGCUGUAAACUCAGCACAGGAGCGAGUCCAGCAGCUUGAGAAACAGCUAAAGGAGAUGGAGAGAGAGAGGGAUCGAGAGAUGAACGCCUUGAGAAAGCAGAGAAGAGAAUUACUUCACACAACACACAAGGUUUUGGCAGAGAAGAAGCCGCUUGCCGAUUGGUCCAACAUCCCCGUCUCGAGCCCUUGCAUGAUGUCACUGUCACCGCUGACCAUUCAGAAAUCACCUCAGGAACAAAAAGAACCGGUCAGUUUGCCACGGAGACGGAGCUCGCACCGCAACAACAAACACUCCGAUAGGCCAGUCUCGUCACAAGGUCUGGUGGGAAUGGUACUGGACAGCCGGGGCCCGAUGGACUUCAUGUCUCCUGUCCCCUCCCACAGACACAGCAACGGGCACAGACCUGGGAACAGCAAUGGGUUCCUCACCCCCUGCAACAGUGCCAGUAGCUCCCGGGCAGCCAGGUCAGUGGGGAGAACCUCAGUCAUGGACUGUGAGAGAAGGGAUCUGAUAGGUUAUCAGGAGGAGCGGGGAGAGAAUGAGCUGCAUGUGGAAGACGUGAUUGGGUCAGUGUUUGUGCAUGUGAAGGAUGAAUGCGGCCCGUAUUGUCCAACAGAAUGA